rnacentral:rRNA from 1 species
UACGUAGGGUGCGAGCGUUGUCCGGAAUUAUUGGGCGUAAAGAGCUCGUAGGCGGUUUGUUGCGUCGGCUGUGAAAUCCCGAGGCUCAACCUCGGGUCUGCAGUCGAUACGAGCAGACUAGAGUGUUGCAGGGGAGACUGGAAUUCCUGGUGUAGCGGUGAAAUGCGCAGAUAUCAGGAAGAACACCAAUGGCGAAGGCAGCUCUCUGGGACGGUACUGACGCUGAGACGCGAAAGCGUGGGGAGCGAACAGG